rnacentral:misc_RNA from 1 species
GAUGAAGAACGCAGCGAAAUGCGAUACGUAAUGUGAAUUGCAGAAUUCAGUGAAUCAUCGAAUCUUUGAACGCAUAUUGCGCUCUCUGGUAUUCCGGAGAGCAUGCUUGUUUGAGUAUCAGUAAACACCUCAACUCCCUUUUCUUUUUUGAAAUUGGAGCUGGACUUGAGUGAUCCCAACGCUUUCUUCCAAGAAAGUGGCGGGUUGCUUGAAAUGCAGGUGCAGCUGAACUUUUCUCUGAGCUAUAAGCAUAUCUAUUUAGUCUGCCUAAAAAACAGAUUAUUACCUUUGCUGCAGCUAACAUAAAGGAGACUAGUUCUUGUGCUGACUGAUGCAGGAUUCACAGAGACAGCUUGGCUGACUUUGUAAACUCGAUCUCAAAUCAAGUAAGACUACCCGCUGAACUUAAGCAUAUCAAUAAGCGGAGGA